CAAAGAUACAUUGACAUGGGACAUUAGGUAUAAGAUUGCACUAGGAACAGCUGAGGGUUUACUCUAUCUUCAUGAGGGUUGUCAGAGAAGAAUAAUACAUAGAGAUAUCAAGGCUGCUAACAUUUUGCUUACAGAGGACUUUGAGCCUCAGAUUUGUGAUUUUGGGCUUGCAAAAUGGCUACCCGAGCAUUGGACUCACCACAUUGUAUCCAAAUUCGAAGGCACAUUUGGCUAUCUUGCUCCCGAGUACUUAAUGCACGGAAUAGUGGAUGAAAAAACUGAUGUUUUUGCCUUUGGUGUGCUGCUGUUGGAAUUAGCCACAGGACGGCGAGCACUGGAUUACUCGCAACAAAGCCUUGUCUUGUGGGCAAAACCCUUGCUCAAGAAGAGUGAGAUCAGUGAGCUAGUUGAUCCUGCUCUUGCCAAUGAUUAUAAUGCUCGACAGAUGAAUCUCAUGCUAUUGGCCGCUUCUUUAUGCAUACAACAGUGUUCAUUACGGAGGCCUCAAAUGACUCAGGUUGUGCAGAUUCUUAAUGGUAAUCUCAGCUGCUUGAAAUGCACGAAAAAAUGGCGAGUGGCAUUCUUUAGAAAAGUUUUCCGCGAUGAGCUCUUCAAAACAGAAGAGUAUAAAUCACCCAACAAUUAGAUAAUCUCAGUUGGGCUGACAAGAUGAUUUGGGUUUUAAUUAAGAGCAAUGGUUUUCCGUGUGUUUCCCUUAUCCAAGAAACAAACUGUAGGUUGCGCCAUUGAAGUUGGCAGUGGUACCAAAAGCAUCCUAAGCUGGGAACUGAAAUGCAAGGUUUCUUUAAAGAUUAUAACAGAAGAAAGAGAGGAAAAGGAGUUCGUAGACAAAAGGAAGAAACGACAGUGCGUUUUCAACUUGUGUACAUAAAAAAAAAAGAUGCAAAGAAUCAAUAGGAAUACCAAAGUAAAGAAAGGAGGAGUAUUCCUAGUUAUGUAGAUUGUACAGCAUAGAAUCCUACUAAACGCCUUGAGAACGUUGGAUCUUCAAUAAACUCAAGUACGUAAAGGAACCGUAGACUCCAAAAGCAAAAGAAAGGUAGUUUUGCUUUCCAAUUUCCAGCAUGCUUGUGUUCCUUUUCAGGAGACACACCAGCUAAAGCUUGAAAUUUGCAUUAUUUAUAAAUGUA
rnacentral:misc_RNA from 1 species